CAGGAAAGGUAGACCCACCCCACCCCCAACUUCAGCUCCUGUGUGAAAGGGUGAAGAACCUGGAGGGGAUGUUCUAUUUUACCAACACAAGCAUGUCCUUCCUAACAAGGAGGGCUGCUUAGAGGAUUGAGAAAGGGAGAAUAUCAUGAGGGACAUAAGGAAGAAGGGACCAAAACUUAAAAUUCUAACUGACAAUCCAGUUUCCAACAUAAGUGCAAUUUUAGGUUAUGCAAAAUUUUUUCUUUGCAGUGAAAUCAAGAGCUGGCUGUAAUUUCUGUCACCAUAUUGCAAUGCUGCUGCUUAGAAAGCUAAGCAUAUGUAUGUGUGGUUUAUCAAACAAAGAUGUUGUUGUUUAACAUGCAAAGCCACAGCAGUUACAUUUGUUACAAAUGCUGGGUUUCAUCCAGCAGGAUUGGAACUGCUUCUCCUGCUUUAGGAAGUCUUACUCGCGUUAGCUCUGGAUAUGGCUUUUCCAGAUUACAGUUUGCUUCCCUUCGGACCUCAAGAAAAUAUAAGGAUAAAGAAUUGGCUUUGGGUCUUUGCUCAUAUGCAGAGGGGAGACCUGCUGCCUGUGUGGAUAGGGAACAUCUCUCCUGCUGCCUUCCAGAGAAGCUGUUCAAUGACUUGUUGAGCCACUGUGUUUGA
rnacentral:lncRNA from 1 species